rfam:Oryza glumipatula chromosome 8, whole genome shotgun sequence.
AAAAAAAACAAACUCUGGUUUACAUGUCCAACGUUAACCGUUCGUCUUAUUUAAAAAAAUUAUAAAAAAAAUUAAAAAGAUAAAUCACGUAUAAAGUAUUAAUCAUAUUUUAUUAUCUAACAACAAUAAAAAUACUAAUUAUAAAAAAAUUUCAUAUAAGACGGAUAGUCAAACGUUAGACACGGAAACGAGGAUUUGUUUUUU